rnacentral:rRNA from 1 species
UACAGAGGUCUCGAGCGUUAGGCGGAAUCACUGGGCUUAAAGCGUGUGUAGGCGGGUCGUUAAGUACCUUGUGAAAUCCCAUGGCUCAACCAUGGAACUGCUGGGUAUACUGGCGAUCUUGUGCAACCUAGGGGCGAGCGGAACAGAUGGUGGAGCGGUGAAAAUGCGUAGAUAUCAUCUGGAACGCCAAUGGUGAAAACAGCUCGCUGGGGGUUUGCAGACGCUGAGACACGAAAGCCAGGGGAGCGAACGGG